GACGAACGCUGGCGGCGUGCCUAACACAUGCAAGUCGAGCGGGGUUGAGGCGAGAGGUAACUCGAACUUCUACCUAGCGGCGGACGGGUGAGUAACGCGUGGGCAACCUGCCUCAAGGUUUGGGAUAACAGCCCGAAAGGGCUGCUAAUACCGGAUAUGCCUAUGGCCUCGCAUGGGGCUAUGAGCAAAGGGGAAACCCGCCUUGAGAUGGGCCCGCGUCCCAUCAGCUAGUUGGUGAGGUAACAGCUCACCAAGGCGACGACGGGUAGCCGGCCUGAGAGGGUGACCGGCCACACUGGGACUGAGACACGGCCCAGACUCCUACGGGGGGCAGCAGUGGGGGAUCUUGCACAAUGGGCGAAAGCCUGAUGCAGCGACGCCGCGUGAGCGAAGAAGGCCUUCGGUUGUAAGCUCUGUCUGGAGGGACGGAACAAAAUAGACGGUACCGUCCGGAGGAAGGCCACGGCUAACUACGUG
rnacentral:rRNA from 1 species